rnacentral:rRNA from 1 species
ACGAACGCUGGCGGCGUGCCUAACACAUGCAAGUCGAGCGGAGAUUAGCGGAUGGUAACUGAAGCUAAUUUUAGCGGCGGACGGGUGAGUAACACGUGGGCAACCUGCCUUGAAGAGGGGGAUAACACCGAGAAAUGGGUGCUAAUACCGCAUAACAUACACAAUUCGCAUGGAAUGUGUAUCAAAGGAGAAAUCCGCUUUAAGAUGGGCCCGCGGCUGAUUAGCUAGUUGGUAAGGUAACGGCUUACCAAGGCGACGAUCAGUAGACGACCUGAGAGGGUGACCGGCCACACUGGAACUGAGACACGGUCCAGACUCCUACGGGAGGCAGCAGUGGGGAAUAUUGCGCAAUGGGGGAAACCCUGACGCAGCAACGCCGCGUGGAGGAAGAAGGUCUUCGGAUUGUAAACUCCUGUCUUCUGGGACGAUAAUGACGGUACCAGAGGAGGAAGCCACGGCUAACUACGU